rnacentral:tRNA from 2 species
GCUCCCUUCGUCUAGUGGCCUAGGACGCCGGCCUCUCACGCCGGUAACAGGGGUUCGAGUCCCCUAGGGAGCG